GAUGAAGAACGCAGCGAAAUGCGAUAAGUAAUGUGAAUUGCAGAAUUCAGUGAAUCAUCGAAUCUUUGAACGCACAUUGCGCCCCCCAGUAUUCUGGCGGGCAUGCCUGUUCGAGCGUCAUUUCAACCAUCAAGCCCUGCUUGUGUUGGGGUCCUGCGGCUGCCCGCAGGCCCUGAAAACCAGUGGCGGGCUCGCUAGUCACACCGAGCGCAGUAGCACAUCUCGCUCAGGGCGUGCGGCGGGCUCCAGCCGUUAAAGCACCCACCUUUCGCAAGGUUGACCUCGGAUCAGGUAGGAAUACCCGCUGAACUUAAGCAUAUCAAUAAGCGGAAGA
rnacentral:misc_RNA from 1 species